UUAAUUAAAGCCAAAACAGAAGAGGCAUAUCAUUGUUAAUGAUAUUAUUGAAAACACUUUCUAAUUAAA
rnacentral:tRNA from 1 species